UACAGAGGGUGCGAGCGUUAAUCGGAAUUACUGGGCGUAAAGCGAGUGUAGGUGGCUCAUUAAGUCACAUGUGAAAUCCCCGGGCUCAACCUGGGAACUGCAUGUGAUACUGGUGGUGCUAGAAUAUGUGAGAGGGAAGUAGAAUUCCAGGUGUAGCGGUGAAAUGCGUAGAGAUCUGGAGGAAUACCGAUGGCGAAGGCAGCUUCCUGGCAUAAUAUUGACACUGAGAUUCGAAAGCGUGGGUAGCAAACAGG
rnacentral:rRNA from 1 species